GGACACUUGUCGACGGGUCUCUUGAGGGUCCAAGUCGGAUACACAAAAAAAAUAAAUAAUAAUAAUAAAACAAAAAUGAAAAAAAAAACAAAAACAAAGGUAGAGGACUCUUCUUGAGGACAUACCACUUGGACAGUACUCUUGAGGGAAGUAGUCCAUGUAGAUUUUUUAUUUAUUUUUUUCCUUUUUAGGUAGUGUAGUAAGUCCCUCUUGGUUUUUCUUUCGACCACGGUGCCUUUCCAAGAGUUUUUCUUGAACUGGGUUAGGUAAAUUUUCCUUUUGUAGUUGUAGGACUAAGAUGGGUAAAGGCUAGAAUGCUAUUCUUGAUGUACACAUCAACAAAUAACUAAAAUGAACUUGAGAGUGUGACGCCUAGGCUCAGUUGUAGAUUUGUAAAUCUAUGCCUUAAUUUUGCACAUCUUGCCUUUCUUGAACGCUCGUAUGAGUGUGUUGAUAAACUGAUUCAGAACGAGUUACAUGCUAAGUGUGUGUGAGAUUUUACUUGCAUUCUGUGCUUGCAUGCGAUGCCUAGAACUUGCCCUGUGUGUUUGCAAAGCAAAAUAGAAGUUGUUUGGUUGUAGAGAUGAUUGAGGCAUUUCUUUGUGUAAGCCUAUAUAUAAUUGUGAAUCCACCUGUCUAUAUUGCCAUAGUCAACCCCUUUGAGUCUGAAGCCUGUUCUUUGAUAACCCUAUAAUGACCUAUAUCCUUGUGUUUGAAUAGCUGAUUGUUUGAACCUAUACCUCCUAGAAGCACUUGAAUCACUAAAGAACAUACAAAAGUCAAAGUGUGGGUGGUAGGGAGUUAGCGAAAAAGGGGAAUAAAAAAU
rnacentral:lncRNA from 1 species